GACGAACGCUGGCGGCGUGCUUAACACAUGCGAGUCGAACGGAAAGGCCCUGCUUUUGGGGGGUGCUCGAGUGGCGAACGGGUGAGUAACACGUGAGUAACCUGCCCUUGACUUUGGGAUAACUUCAGGAAACUGGGGCUAAUACCGGAUAGGAGCUCCUGCUGCAUGGUGGGGGUUGGAAAGUUUCGGCGGUUGGGGAUGGACUCGCGGCUUAUCAGCUUGUUGGUGGGGUAGUGGCUUACCAAGGCUUUGACGGGUAGCCGGCCUGAGAGGGUGACCGGCCACAUUGGGACUGAGAUACGGCCCAGACUCCUACGGGAGGCAGCAGUGGGGAAUAUUGCACAAUGGGCGGAAGCCUGAUGCAGCAACGCCGCGUGCGGGAUGACGGCCUUCGGGUUGUAAACCGCUUUCGCCUGUGACGAAGCGUGAGUGACGGUAAUGGGUAAAGAAGCACCGGCUAACUACGUGCCAGCAGCCGCGGUGAUACGUAGGGUGCGAGCGUUGUCCGGAUUUAUUGGGCGUAAGGGGCUCGUAGGUGGUUGAUCGCGUCGGAAGUGUAAUCUUGGGGCUUAACCCUGAGCGUGCUUUCGAUACGGGUUGACUUGAGGAAGGUAGGGGAGAAUGGAAUUCCUGGUGGAGCGGUGGAAUGCGCAGAUAUCAGGAGGAACACCAGUGGCGAAGGCGGUUCUCUGGGCCUUUCCUGACGCUGAGGAGCGAAAGCGUGGGGAGCGAACAGGCUUAGAUACCCUGGUAGUCCACGCUGUAAACGGUGGGUACUAGGUGUGGGGUCCAUUCCACGGGUUCCGUGCCGUAGCUAACGCUUUAAGUACCCCGCCUGGGGAGUACGGCCGCAAGGCUAAAACUCAAAGGAAUUGACGGGGCCCCGCACAAGCGGCGGAGCAUGCGGAUUAAUUCGAUGCAACGCGUAGAACCUUACCUGGGUUUGACAUGGAUCGGGAGCGCUCAGAGAUGGGUGUGCCUCUUUUGGGGUCGGUUCACAGGUGGUGCAUGGCUGUCGUCAGCUCGUGUCGUGAGAUGUUGGGUUAAGUCCCGCAACGAGCGCAACCCUUGUUCACUGUUGCCAGCACGUUAUGGUGGGGACUCAGUGGAGACCGCCGGGGUCAACUCGGAGGAAGGUGGGGAUGACGUCAAGUCAUCAUGCCCCUUAUGUCCAGGGCUUCACGCAUGCUACAAUGGCUGGUACAGAGAGUGGCGAGCCUGUGAGGGUGAGCGAAUCUCGGAAAGCCGGUCUCAGUUCGGAGUGGGGUCUGCAACUCGACCUCAUGAAGUCGGAGUCGCUAGUAAUCGCAGAUCAGCAACGCUGCGGUGAAUACGUUCCCGGG
rnacentral:rRNA from 1 species